rnacentral:rRNA from 1 species
GAUGAACGCUAGCGGCAGGCUUAAUACAUGCAAGUCGAGGGGCAGCGCAGGGUAGCAAUACCUGGGCGGCGACCGGCAAACGGGUGCGGAACACGUACAGAACCUUCCUUCGAGCGGGGGAUAGCCCAGAGAAAUUUGGAUUAAUACCUCAUAGUAUAAUGGUGUGGCAUCACAUUAUUAUUAAAGAUUUAUCACUUGAAGAUGGCUGUGCGUAUGAUUAGGUAGUUGGCGGGGUAACGGCCCACCAAGCCUACGAUCAUUAACUGGUGUGAGAGCUCGACCAGUCACACGGGCACUGAGACACGGGCCCGACUCCUACGGGAGGCAGCAGUAAGGAAUAUUGGUCAAUGGACGCAAGUCUGAACCAGCCAUGCCGCGUGGAGGAUGAAGGUCCUCUGGAUUGUAAACUUCUUUUAUCUGGGACGAAAAAAGGCUUUUCUAAGUCGUCUGACGGUACCAGAUGAAUAAGCACCGGCUAACUCCGUGCCAGCCGCCGCGGUAAUAC